AUUGAACGCUGGCGGCAUGCUUUACACAUGCAAGUCGAACGGUAACAGGCCUUCGGGUGCUGACGAGUGGCGAACGGGUGAGUAAUGCAUCGGAACGUGCCCAAUCGUGGGGGAUAACGUAGCGAAAGUUACGCUAAUACCGCAUAAGCCCUGAGGGGGAAAGUGGGGGACCGCAAGGCCUCACGCGAAUGGAGCGGCCGAUGUCAGAUUAGCUAGUUGGUGGGGUAAAGGCCCACCAAGGCGACGAUCUGUAGCGGGUCUGAGAGGAUGAUCCGCCACACUGGGACUGAGACACGGCCCAGACUCCUACGGGAGGCAGCAGUGGGGAAUUUUGGACAAUGGGCGCAAGCCUGAUCCAGCCAUGCCGCGUGCGGGACGAAGGCC
rnacentral:rRNA from 1 species